rnacentral:rRNA from 1 species
CUCAACCCCGGAACUGCUUCGGAUACUGGAGAGCUUGAGUGCUCUAGAGGGCAGUGGAAUUCCGGGUGUAGCAGUGAAAUGCGUAGAUAUCCGGAGGAACACCAGUGGCGAAGGCGACUGCCUGGGGAGUAACUGACGCUGAGGCGCGAAAGCUGGGGGAGCAAACGGGAUUAGAUACCCCGGUAGUCCCAGCCGUAAACGAUGAGUGCUAGGUGUAGCGGGUAUCGACCCCCGCUGUGCCGCAGUUAACGCAAUAAGCACUCCGCCUGGGGAGUACGGCCGCAAGGUUGAAACUCAAAGGAAUUGACGGGGGCCCGCACAAGCAGCGGAGCAUGUGGUUUAAUUCGAAGCAACGCGUAGAACCUUACCAGGGCUUGACAUGUAAGGAACCCUGCAAAGAUGCGGGGGUGCCCCUUCGGGGGAGCCU